rnacentral:rRNA from 1 species
GACGAACGCUGGCGGCGUGCCUAAUACAUGCAAGUUGAGCGAUGAAGAUUGGUGCUUGCACCAAUUUGAAGAGCAGCGGACGGGUGAGUAACGCGUGGGGAAUCUGCCUUUGAGCGGGGGACAACAUUUGGAAACGAAUGCUAACACCGCAUAAUAACUUUAAACAUAAGUUUUAUGUUUGAAAGAUGCAAUUGCUUCACUCAAAGAUGAUCCCGCGUUGUAUUAGCUAGUUGGUGAGGUAAAGGCUCACCAAGGCGAUGAUACAUAGCCGACCUGAGAGGGUGAUCGGCCACAUUGGGACUGGGACACGGGCCAAACGCCUACGGGAGGCAGCAGGAGGGAAACUUCGGCAAGAGACGGAAGUCUGACCGAGCAACGCCGCGGGGGGGAAGAAGGUUCUCGGGUCGGAAAAGUCUGUUGGUAGAGAAGAACGUUGAUGAGAGUGGAAAGCUCAUCAAGUGACGGUAACUACCCAGAAAGGGACGGCUAACUACGUG